UCGUAACAAGGUUUCCGUAGGUGAACCUGCGGAAGGAUCAUUACUGAGUGCGGGCUGCCUCCGGGCGCCCAACCUCCCACCCGUGAAUACCUAACACUGUUGCUUCGGCGGGGAACCCCCUCGGGGGCGAGCCGCCGGGGACUACUGAACUUCAUGCCUGAGAGUGAUGCAGUCUGAGUCUGAAUAUAAAAUCAGUCAAAACUUUCAACAAUGGAUCUCUUGGUUCCGGCAUCGAUGAAGAACGCAGCGAACUGCGAUAAGUAAUGUGAAUUGCAGAAUUCAGUGAAUCAUCGAGUCUUUGAACGCACAUUGCGCCCCCUGGCAUUCCGGGGGGCAUGCCUGUCCGAGCGUCAUUGCUGCCCAUCAAGCCCGGCUUGUGUGUUGGGUCGUCGUCCCCCCCCGGGGGACGGGCCCGAAAGGCAGCGGCGGCACCGUGUCCGGUCCUCGAGCGUAUGGGGCUUUGUCACCCGCUCGACUAGGGCCGGCCGGGCGCCAGCCGACGUCUCCAACCAUUUUUCUUCAGGUUGACCUCGGAUCAGGUAGGGAUACCCGCUGAACUUAAGCAUAUCAAUAA
rnacentral:misc_RNA from 1 species